UAGGUCUUGGCUUAAUUAAAGCGCUUGAGUUGCAUUCAGGAGAUGUAAAUUAGUAUUUACAGGUCUU
rnacentral:tRNA from 1 species